rnacentral:rRNA from 1 species
UGGGUUUAAAACGUCGUGAGACAGUUUGGUCCUUAUCUGUUGCGGGCGCAGGAUAUUUGAGGAGAUCUUUCCCUAGUACGAGAGGACCGGGAUGGACGAACCUAUGGUGUACCAGUUGUUCCGCCAGGAGCAUCGCUGGGUAGCUAUGUUCGGCAGGGAUAACCGCUGAAAGCAUCUAAGCGGGAAGCCUACUUCAAGAUAAGAUAUCCCAUGGCGUAAAGUCAUCUGAAGGCUCGUGGUAGACCACCACGUCGAUAGGUCGGGUGUGGAAGUGCAGUAAUGCAUGCAGCUUACCGAUACUAAUCAGCCGUGCGGCUUAUCCAUAUU